UCAGAUCUAUUAAGUAUGCGAUCAAUUCCAUCCUCACUCUUAUUUCUUAUUUCUUGCGAUCAAUUCCAUCUUCACAUACCACUAUCUCGCUUUUGGAUUGAGAAAGACACAAGCUCCCCUGACACGCACCGGAAGAGAAUUUUUUAGCAGUUUAUUUUGGUGAUUGUGGGAUUCACACUUCUUGCAGCGUCCUCAUUUCUCCCAAACUUGAAUGUUGGCAUGCCUUCCUUCUCUCUAACUCAACCUUUUAACAGGUAAUGCCCGGUACUAAUGUGAAAUUAGGAUUUUAGGGUUCAUAUUUGGUUUAUUAUCGCAAUUGCAAUUUGUAUUCGAGACAGAGAUGGAGCAAUGUCCAAGCCAAAGUAAAGUUGUUAAUGAACAACUGUCAGUUGCAAUUGAAGGUUCUCCCCCCUAGAAGGUAAUUUGUGUGUGUGCAAUCAAGGGUUUUGGAUACACUGUCUAUAGUCUAUGAUCAUCCUUCACUUCGCUACUGUUUGACAAUUUGAGACUACCGAUUACAGUUUGAGUUUCAGUUGAGUUCAGUUGUUCAUCUGUUCGACUCAGGAAGAAGAACUUAGGGCUCCGAUUCAUGACCUUCAAAUUCAACAGAUUCACUGAUAAUUUAGAUCAACUGAUUUAUAGAGGUUCGCUAAUUCGAUUGCUGAAAGAUAACUACGAAAGUGUGUGAAUUUUUUCAAAAGUGUUGAAAUUACUGCAAACUUAUGAACUUCAUCAAAUAUGGCACAUCUUCAAACUCACCCGGUUUGGCAAUCUGUACAAAAAUUGAAAUUCAAAUUAUUUGAUACUCAGUUGAGCAUCAGGUUUGUGUAGCUUAUGUUCAAAUUGAUUCUUUGUGUUACAAAAGUCAGUCAUCGACUACUGCAUUCUGAUUGUUACAUUGAAUCAUUGCUCAUGUAUUGAUUUUCUUUGUUCAAACAUUAAAUUUUAUGAACUGGUAUUUCAUUUCAUUCAAAUAUUGUGAUAAUGCUUGAAUUCAAGAAGUGAUGUUCCAAUUGAUUAAAACUGGCGCUACAAAUCAGAUAAGCUUUCGAAUUGCAACGUAUUGAGCGUCACAUGUUUUUUUUACACAUCACAAGCCACAUGAUGACUUGCUAAGAAAAGUUGAAUCACAUAAUAUUAGAAUUAUGAAUUGCAACCACCACAAAUGGUGUCAUUCAGCAAUGAACUAACCUUCAAGCUUCAUGUUUUUGAACCAUCAAGGUAUGCUCUCUAACGUGCUUUGCAUUUUAUACGAUCUCUGUUUAGUUUUUGGAUUUAAUUUAUUCGAUAAUUUCUUGAAAUUUUACAGGAAUAUCUCAUAUCUGUAGUGAAGUAAACCUCUGAUGCAUAUUGAGGAUUCAAUGAUGACCGAGAUUUAAGCCCAGUUACUAAUAAGCUGUGGAACAACUUGUAUAUGGUGUAGUUCGGGUCCAAGUGUGCCAGUGUUGUAGUUGAAAAGAUGAAAGAAAAGAAAGUUUUCUUUGUAUGGAGACAAUUGUAUGAGUUUCAUGGGAUUACCAGUUCAUUCGGGCUGAAACAUCUCUUUAUUUCGCCUCUUUGUAUGCCAAUGACCUCUAGCUCAAGUGGUAGGAGGAUUUGACUUCUUAUUUGAAGACUUAAGUUCAAUUCCCAUUUGGUGCAAAAAAAGGAGUGAGGCACUGGUGGGCAGUGAUAGGAGACCUAGGGAAACCUGGGUUCGAUCCUUGAGCCAAACGGGUUUUACCGGUAAUUUACCGUCGUGCCUAAGUGCGGGUGGGUUACCGGGUUUUCCCCGGAAUUGGUGGAGGACUACUCGGGUUACUCUCGGAGUACUACGUUUGUCCAGUGGGUGCUUCGAGAGUGCUCGGGAUUGAUUUAUUGGCCGUUCGAAAAAAAAUUGCACGAUCUAGAAGGUGCAUGUGGAGAAUUGCAUUACCCGUCUUACCAUGCAAAAUAUGGUUGGGAAUUGGUAUUGGUGAAUUCCGGUGCUAUGUCAAAUCUCAAAUGGGUCAAACCUUUGAAGCUGAAAACAAGAUAGCUUUAAAGGAAACGGGUCAAACACGUCAAAAGUCACUAAUCGGUUGGAGUGAUCAUGAGAUAAAUCAAACUGAUCAGGUUGGAAUGAUCAUGAGUUUUCAGCAUUGGACUCCAUCUUCUUCACCGCUUGAUUGUAAUUUGGCCAUAUUCUAGCACAAGAUGAAUCUGGCUUGUAGAACGAACAAAAUAUCACCAUCUCUAUUACAAUCUAUUUUUUUAUUGUCAUAUUGGUUGUGGUAACCAUUGUUCUUGACUAUAAUGUAUUUGGUAACCAACAAAAGCAAUGUUCUUUUUUUUUCUAUUUAAAAAAGCAACUUAUUUCACAAACAUUGCUGACUUU